rnacentral:rRNA from 1 species
CGUAGGCAGCGAGCGUUGUUCGGAGUUACUGGGCGUAAAGGGUGUGUAGGCGGUUGUUUAAGUUUGGUGUGAAAUCUCCCGGCUCAACUGGGAGGGUGCGCCGAAUACUGAACGACUUGGAGUGCGGGAGAGGAAAGUGGAAUUCCUGGUGUAGCGGUGAAAUGCGUAGAUAUCAGGAGGAACACCGGUGGUGUAGACGGCUUUCUGGACCGUAACUGACGCUGAGACACGAAAGCGUGGGUAGCAAACAGGAUUAGAUACCCUGGUAGUCCACGCCCUAAACGAUGCAUAUUUGGUGUGGGCAGUUCAUUCUGUCCGUGCCGGAGCUAACGCGUUAAAUAUGCCGCCUGGGGAGUACAGUCGCAAGGCUG